UGGGGAAUUUUGGACAAUGGGGGAAACCCUGAUCCAGCCAUCCCGCGUGUGCGAUGAAGGCCUUCGGGUUGUAAAGCACUUUUGGCAGGAAAGAAACGUCAUGGGUUAAUACCCCGUGAAACUGACGGUACCUGCAGAAUAAGCACGGGCUAACUACGUGCCAGCAGCCGCGGUAAUACGUAGGGUGCAAGCGUUAAUCGGAAUUACUGGGCGUAAAGCGUGCGCAGGCGGUUCGGUAAGAAAGAUGUGAAAUCCCAGAGCUCAACUUUGGAACUGCAUUUUUAACUACCGGGCUAGAGUGUGUCAGAGGGAGGUGGAAUUCCGCGUGUAGCAGUGAAAUGCGUAGAUAUGCGGAGGAACACCGAUGGCGAAGGCAGCCUCCUGGGAUAACACUGACGCUCAUGCACGAAAGCGUGGGGAGCAAACAGG
rnacentral:rRNA from 1 species